AAAUUCCAAUGUAGACUAAAACGUUAAUCUGCAGAGGUACAGCUCUACAGAAUAAGAUUACAAUCUUGAUUAGAGAGUAAAAUUAUGUAAUUACCAUAGUUGGCCUAAAAGCAGCCAUCAAUUAAGAAAGCGUUCAAGCUCAACAACCAAAUUCUAACUUAAUCCCAAAAAUUACGUUAACUCCUAAUUUGGUUACUGGAUUAUCCUACCACAUGUAGAAGAAAUACUGUUAAUAUGAGUAACAAGAUUUUUAUCUCCAAACACACAUGUACAUCAGCUCGUACACCAACUGAUAAUUAACAAUUAGAUAAAUCUGCAUAUUUAAUUAAUAAUUUUCCAUUAUAUUGUUGACCCAACACUGGAGUGUAUCUAAGGAAAGAUUAAAAAAAGUAAAAGGAACUCGGCAAACACAAACCCCGCCUGUUUACCAAAAACAUCACCUCUAGCAUUACCAGUAUUAGAGGCACUGCCUGCCCAGUGACAUUAGUUAAACGGCCGCGGUAUCCUGACCGUGCAAAGGUAGCAUAAUCAUUUGUUCCUUAAUUAGGGACUUGUAUGAAUGGCCCCACGAGGGUUUAACUGUCUCUUACUUUUAAUCAGUGAAAUUGACCUUCCCGUGAAGAGGCGGGAAUAAAAAAAUAAGACGAGAAGACCCUAUGGAGCUUAAAUUGUAUGCUCAACAAAAUUUUAAUCCCACCCGACAGGAAAUAAUUAUAAUUUAACUGAGCAACAAAUUUUGGUUGGGGUGACCUCGGAGCACAACAGAACCUCCGAGUGAUUUUUACCAAGACUAACCCGUCAAGGUUACUUAACUUAUUGAUCCAAUCAUAUUGAUCAACGAAACAAGUUACCCUAGGGAUAACAGCGCAAUCCUAUUUGAGAGUUCGUAUCGACAAUAGGGUUUACGACCUCGAUGUUGGAUCAGGACACCCAAAUGGUGCAGCAGCUAUUAAAGGUUCGUUU
rnacentral:rRNA from 1 species